rnacentral:rRNA from 1 species
GAACGGGUGAGUAAUACAUAAGUAACCUGCCCUAGACAGGGGGAUAACUGCUGGAAACGGCAGCUAAGACCGCAUAGGUAUGGACACUGCAUGGUGACCAUAUUAAAAGUGCCAAGGCACUGGUAGAGGAUGGACUUAUGGCGCAUUAGCUGGUUGGUGAGGUAACGGCUCACCAAGGCGACGAUGCGUAGCCGACCUGAGAGGGUGACCGGCCACACUGGGACUGAGACACGGCCCAGACUCCUACGGGAGGCAGCAGUAGGGAAUUUUCGGCAAUGGGGGGAACCCUGACCGAGCAACGCCGCGUGAAGGAAGAAGGAAUUCGUUCUGUAAACUUCUGUUAUAAAGGAAGAACGGCGGAUAUAGGGAAUGAUAUCCGAGUGACGGUACUUUAUGAGAAAGCCACGGCUAACUACGUGCCAGCAGCCGCGGUAAUACGUAGGUGGCGAGCGUUAUCCGGAAUUAUUGGGCGUAAAGAGGGAGCAGGCGGCGGCAGAGGUCUGUGGUGAAAGACUGAAGCUUAACUUCAGUAAGCCAUAGAAACCGGGCUGCUAGAGUGCAGGAGAGGAUCGUGGAAUUCCAUGUGUAGCGGUGAAAUGCGUAGAUAUAUGGAGGAACACCAGUGGCGAAGGCGACGGUCUGGCCUGUAACUGACGCUCAUUCCCGAAAGCGUGGGGAGCAAAUAGGAUUAGAUACCCUAGUAGUCCACGCCGUANACGAUGAGUACUAAGU